rnacentral:rRNA from 1 species
CCCAGGUCAGGCGGGGCUACCCGCUGAAUUUAAGCAUAUCAAUAAGCGGAGGAAAAGAAACUUACAAG